UACGUAGGUGGCGAGCGUUAUCCGGAAUUACUGGGCGUAAAGGGUGUGUAGGUGGCUGCCAUAGUCGGGCGUGAAAUCCCGGGGCUUAACCUCGGGUUUGCGUUCGAUACUUGGUGGCUGGAGUGCGGGAGAGGGAAGUGGAAUUCCCGGUGUAGCGGUGAAAUGCGUAGAGAUCAGGAGGAACACCGAUGGCGAAGGCAGCCCCCUGGGCCUGUACUGACGCUCAUGCACGAAAGCGUGGGGAGCAAACAGG
rnacentral:rRNA from 1 species